AGAGUUUGAUCAUGGCUCAGGACGAACGCUGGCGGCGUGCUUAACACAUGCAAGUCGAACGGUGAACCAGAGCUUGCUCUGGGGAUCAGUGGCGAACGGGUGAGUAACACGUGGGCAACCUGCCCCAGACUCUGGGAUAACCUCGGGAAACCGAUGCUAAUACCGGAUACGACCACUUCGGACAUCCGACGGUGGUGGAAAGUUUUUCGGUCUGGGAUGGGCCCGCGGCCUAUCAGCUAGUUGGUGGGGUAAUGGCCUACCAAGGCGACGACGGGUAGCCGGCCUGAGAGGGCGACCGGCCACACUGGAACUGAGACACGGUCCAGACUCCUACGGGAGGCAGCAGUGGGGAAUAUUGCACAAUGGGCGAAAGCCUGAUGCAGCGACGCCGCGUGAGGGACGACGGCCUUCGGGUUGUAAACCUCUUUCAGCAGGGACGAAGCGAAAGUGACUGUACCUGCAGAAGAAGCACCGGCUAACUACGUG
rnacentral:rRNA from 1 species